UACGUAGGGUGCGAGCGUUGUCCGGAAUUAUUGGGCGUAAAGAGCUUGUAGGCGGUUUGUCGCGUUCUGCUGUGAAAAUCCGGGCGUCAACCCCGGACUUGCAGUGGGUACGGGCAGAACUAGAGUGUGGUAGGGGAGACUGGAAUUCCUGGUGUAGCGGUGAAAUGCGCAGAUAUCAGGAGGAACACCGGUAGUCGGAAGGCGGACUCCGU
rnacentral:rRNA from 1 species